GCGGAUAUGGCGGAAUGGCAGACGCGCAAGUUUCAGGUACUUGUGGUGGCAACACCUUGUGAGUUCAACUCUCACUAUCCGCACCA
rnacentral:tRNA from 1 species